GGAGAGAUGGCUCAGUGGUUAAGAGCACUGACUGCUCUUCCAGAGGUCCUGAGUUCAAUUCCCGGUAACCACA
rnacentral:tRNA from 1 species